ensembl:lncRNA
CCAGGUAGUUUAUAUCCAGGUAGUUUAUCUUUAUAUCUAUGCAGUUUAUAUCUAGGUAGUUUAUCUUAAUAUCUAGGUAGUUUAUCUUUAUAUAUAGGUAGUUUAUAUGAUGUAGUUUAUCUUUAUAUCUAGGUAGUUUAUAUCUAUAUAGUUUAUCUUUAUAUCUAGGUAGUUUAUAUCUAGGUACUUUAUAUUUAUAUCUAGGUAGUUUAUAUCUAGGUAGUUUAUAUUUAUAUCUAUAUAGUUUAUAUCUAGGUAGUUUAUAUCUACAUAAUUUAUCUUUAUAUCUAGGUAGUUCAUAUCUAGGUAGUUUAUAUUUAUAUCUGGGUAGUUUAUCUUUAUAACUAGGUAGUUCCUAUCCAGGUAGUUUAUCUUUAUAUCAAGGUAGUUUAUCUUUAUAUCUAGGUAGUUUAUCUAUAUAUAUCUACAUAGUUUAUCUUUAUAUCUUGGUAGUUUAUCUUUAUAACUAGGUAGUUUAUAUCCAGGUAGUUUAUCUAUAUAUAUCUAUAUAGUUUAUCUUUAUAUCCAGAUAGUUUAUCUUUAUAUCUAGGUAGUUUAUAUCUACGUAGUUUAUAUCUAUAUAAUUUAUCUGUAUAUCUAUGUAGUUUAUAUCUACGUAGUUUAUAUCUAUAUAAUUUAUCUUUAUAUCUAGGUAGUUUAUCUUUAUAUCUACGUAGUUUAUAUCUACAUAGUUUAUAUCUAGGUAGUUUAUAUCUACGUAGUUUAUAUCUACGUAGUUUAUAUCUAUAUAAUUUAUCUUU